AGGCACGUAGCUCAGCUGGUUAGAGCGCUUGCUUCACACGCAAGAGGUCCCCGGUUCGAAUCCGGGCGUGCCUACCA
rnacentral:tRNA from 2 species